rnacentral:rRNA from 1 species
AUACGGAGGGUGCAAGCGUUAUUCGGAAUCACUGGGCGUAAAGGACGCGUAGGCGGGUUGGCAAGUCAGACGUGAAAUCCUACAGCUUAACUGUAGAACUGCAUUUGAAACUGCUAACCUAGAGUAUGGGAGGGGGAGAUGGAAUUAGUGGUGUAGGGGUAAAAUCCGUAGAUAUCACUAGGAAUACCGAAAGCGAAGGCGAUCUCCUGGAACAUAACUGACGCUAAGGCGUGAAAGCGUGGGGAGCAAACAGGAUUAGAAACCCCAGUAGUCC